rnacentral:rRNA from 1 species
GACGAACGCUGGCGGCGUGCUUAACACAUGCAAGUCGAACGGAAAGGCCCUGCUUGCAGGGUACUCGAGUGGCGAACGGGUGAGUAACACGUGGGUGAUCUGCCCUGCACUUCGGGAUAAGCCUGGGAAACUGGGUCUAAUACCGGAUAGGAGCCAUUUUUAGUGUGAUGGUUGGAAAGUUUUUUCGGUGUAGGAUGAGCUCGCGGCCUAUCAGCUUGUUGGUGGGGUAAUGGCCUGCCAAGGCGGCAACGGGUAGCCGGCCUGAGAGGGUGGACGGCCACAUUGGGACUGAGAUACGGCCCAGACUCCUACGGGAGGCAGCAGUGGGGAAUAUUGCACAAUGGGCGCAAGCCUGAUGCAGCGACGCCGCGUGGGGGAUGACGGCCUUCGGGUUGUAAACUCCUUUCGCUAGGGACGAAGCUUUUUGUGACGGUACCUAGAUAAGAAGCACCGGCUAACUACGUG